CUAUGGGAUCAGCCCCAAUCCCAUGGGAUAAACCCCAGUUCCAUGGGAUCAGCCCCAAGUUUCCCAUUGGCCAGCGUGGGCUGAAGUUCCCAGGGGUUUCCUUGGAAUUUGGGGCUCUGCAUUCCUGGAUUUCCCCAGCAGGAGGAGGAGGAGGAGGCUGGGGAGGGGACGGACGUGAAGGUGGCUGGGGAGAAAAGCCUGAGUGGCCUCAUCCAGGACCUGCGGCACAGGUGGGGAAUAAUGGGAAAAUGGGAAUAACGGGAAUGGGAGAAUCCCACAUGGGAAUAAUGAGAAUGGGAAAAUUCCAAAUGGGAAUCGACAGGGAAAAUCCCGAAUGGGAAUGGGACAGGGACAAUCCUGAAUGGGAAUGGGAAUAACGGGAAUGGGAAAAUCCCACGUUGGAAUGGGAAUGGGAAUAUCCGGAAUGGGAAUGGGAAUAUCCCAAAUGGGAAUGGACAGGGAAAAUCCCAAAUGGGAAUGGGAAUAAUCCCACAUGGGAAUAAUGGGAAUGGGAAAAUCCCAAAUGGGAAUAAUGGGAAUAGGACAGGGAACAUCCCAAAUGGGAAUGGGAAUAACGGGAAUGGGAGAAUCCCACAUUGGAAUGGGAAUGGAAAAACCCACAUGGGAAUGGGAAUAACGGGAAUGGGAAUAAUCCCAAAUGGGAAUCGACAGGGAAAAUCCCAAAUGGGAAUGGGAAUAAUGGGAAUGGGGAAAUCCCAAAUGGGAAUAAUGGGAAUGGGACAGGAAAAAUCCCACCUGGAACUGGUACUGGGAGCAGGGCAGGGUGAACCCCUGAGGGCCCAGGGCAGUCCCAGUCCCUGCUCUGGCAUUCCCGGCUCUGAUCCCGAUCCCGCUGUUCCGCAGGCUCCCUCCCACCAUGGCCAGCGAGCUGUCGGUGCCCUUGGCCUUCAUCUCCCUGCUGCACCUGGCCAACGAGAAGAACCUGGAGCUGGAGAGCACCGAGGACCUGUCGGAUGUCCUGGUGAGAGGGGGGAACUGACCCUGGAGCCGCUGCAGAUCCAGCAGGGAAUGCUGAGAAAUCCCAAAAUCCCAAACCCCUGGCGAGGUUGGGAUUCAGGGAUGGCCUGGCUGGACAGAUCCCACCAGGAUCCAGCAGCUUUUCCCUGGGAUUGGAAAUCCCUGCACUUCACUGUGAACCCAGGCUGCUCUGUGUCCCAACAUUUCCUCUGUGUAUCCCAACAUUUCCUGUCUAUAUCCCAAAAUUUCCUCUCUGUAUCCCAAAAUUUCCUGUCUAUAUCCUAAAAUUCUGUCUGUCCCUGUGUCCUUCCCAGUCUGUAAUUCCCAGUUUUUGGAUUGACUGUUAGUCCUGGCUCCCAUUCCCUCCAUUCUGGAAUUAUUCCCUUUUUCUACUGUUUUCAAGGAUAAUAAAGUUUGCAUUUGCACACUUUGGAG
rnacentral:lncRNA from 1 species